UACAAAUAUGGUUUGAAGUUUGUUAGGCUCAAGAGACUCUUAAAGAUCCCUUCAAGAAGAGAAUCAAAAGAAUUCGUUACUUUUGUGUCUUGCGUUAAGAUUGGAACCAUAUCAUCGACGAUAUAUUCGAGGCACGCAUCUAGUGAAGAACACUUUCCGGUAGUUCAACCUAAUUUCAUUGAGUGAAAUUUUUUAGCUGAUAACUUCAGGUUUGCCGGGAGAUAAUCACUUGAGUAAAUUCAAUGAAUCACUGACUGAAUCUAGUGAAUCCAAGAAGCAAACGACUCCCGCCCGCGGUGUUCGCCGGCUUUUACGAAUCAGAGAAUAUCCACAGAUGCUUCAUUCGGCUAUGGGAGCUAACGCAACUUCACUCAUUAGAACAGACAUGACUGUCGAUGGCCAAAUGUCAAAUGCUGGCUCGGGUCCAACGAUUGAGGAGCCAAACCUCUGACAAGUUGUAAUUUUUUUAUUGCGUUAUAAGCAAACGAACGGGCGAAUGCGAGGCUACUCUGAGGGCACAAUCAGGAAAGCGAGCUCGCGUCAGGAUAAUCCCGUCGACUUUAACAACUGUAUAUAGUACAAAUGCUA